GGUUUGGUUUUCUUUUGCAACAUUUCCCUGGUUAUGUAUCCUUGGCUGCAUGUUCUCAUUUAGUACUGUGAAUAUGUCUUUCCAGCUCUUUUUCGCCUGCAAAGUCCCUAUGGACAGGUCUGACGUUAUUCUGAUGUUCCUCCCUCCGUACAUAAGAAAUCUGUUCCCCCUGGCUGCUUUCUGGAUUGCUUCCUUGGUUCUAAGAUUUGCAAGUUUUCCAUUUUUAAUUCUAAUAGUGUAUUUAUAGAAUACUUUGGAUUUUCUAUGUACACCAUCAUAUUAUCUGUAAAUAGUCACAAUGAUCUCCUCGCUUCUUAUUCUUUUUGUUUCUCUUGGCUUAUAACACUUGGGAGAUUCUCCAAUGGAAUGUUGACCAGAGUAGCAUUGCUUGAAGAUUUUAAUAUACCUUUCUCAAUAUCUGAUAGAAAAAGCAGACAAAACAUUGGUAAGACAUGUGACCUAAUUGACAUAUAUGGAACAUUACAGAGUAAGUGCAGAAUACAUUAUUUUCAAGUGGUGCUAGAAUAUUUAUCCAAAUAGACGAUAUGUUGGGCCAUGAAUCAAGUCUACACAUUUUAAAAGCCUGAAAUUAACUAGGUUAUAUUCUUAGACUACAGGGAAUCGAGCCAUAGUCAUAAUGAAAAGAAAAGCAGGAAGUCCCUCAAUGCUUAAAACUUAAAUGUAAAUUUGCUACAUAUCCUAAGGGUCAGAGAGGGAAUCACAAUGGAAAGUCUCGAUCUUUCCUACAUCAGAGCUCACAGACAAUGGCAUUCUAUCCGUGAAGAGCACUAUAAAUAAGGUAGACAGGAGUUGAGCCUUAAGUCCGAGUUCUGCCUGCCUCAGCCACACCUGGCAGCCUUGGCAUGUGGUCGCCCCCAGCUGCCCUUUCUGGUAGCCCUGAGCUAAGGGGGACAACAUAGCCAUAUGGAAAUGGGAAGCUCCCCACUCCUAGUGACGAUGGUGCUAUUGUAUUGUCCUCACCAGUCCAACAAGAUGAUUUCUGAGUGAAACAUGACACAAUAGCAGCUUCUUGACCUUCCUUAAGGUUUGAAAAUCAUCUUGUGAGUCAUCUAUCAGAAAUAUGGUUUCAACAUGUGUCCUUUUUUCUGGAAAAGAAAUAGAUCCAAAUAGUAAUUAUGGUUUCUGAGCACCUGCCCUUGAGCUCCAUCACACUGCUCUUUGUGGAAUUCUCCCUCUUAGACUUCUAAACUAUGAUGUAGGUAUUUUUAGUCACAUUUUCUAGAUGGUUAGACGGGGGCUCAGAGACGAUAUGAGUCACGGAGGAUUUUAGUGUCAGAGACCUAAGUGGGAUCUCCAAACUGACUCCAAAUCCCUUGUUAUUCCAUACACGGAACUCUUUCCCUGUUAUCUCUGGUCUUCUCCAUCUGGAAACAUAUCAAGUACCAGGAUUUUCUUGUUGUGUGGCCAACUGGAAUGAAUUCAGCCGGCCUUUUAAACUAUGCCCAUCAUGAUCAGUGGAGGACCUUUGAGUAAGAUACUCCAAGAUCUCUAGGAAUAGAGACAUUAUAAUCUGCUUGAGAUCUUCAAGUUACUGAAAGAACUAUCUUUUUUUUAAUUGAUUCAGGCUCUAGUAUGUUCAGAGUGUGCUGUAAGACAGGUCUGAAAUAGUAUUUAAAAACACUCAGCUCAGCCUCUUCUACAAAGUGAGACAGUGCUUAUAAACAUUGCUAAAAUAGUCCCUUAGCUAUGAUUACUUACUUCCCAACCAUCGUAGUGUUUAUAUGGUAUGACUAUGACUUAACAUUAGUCAAAAUCUGCAAGGAAAGAACUGAGACAGUGUAUGCAAGCUUUAGGGGCACUUCAUGUUUCCAUUAGUGUUGUGAAAAUGAGCUACUCUGUUUUAUUCUAUAGUCCAAGGGAAUGGUGCCAGACAUCUCUGAGAUGUCUAGGAGUUCUAAAAUUCUGACUUUAAAUUAUCUGUGUGCUUCAGAGAUUUGGGCAGGAGAAGGGGAGGAGCCCAGCAUCUGUGAACACCUCUGUUACCUGUGUUGACCGUGGGACAGGUGAACUUCUCUAGGCAUCAUUUUGAUUUUUUGGCACUAUUGUUAAAGGUACUUUUGUCUCAAGUUCCUCCCUUUAGUAGCAAUUCUAAUGAUAAUGGAAAUUUUUAUCUUUUACCAUCCGUGGGCCUGGAUCCUGGGCUCCCAGAGAAGCUAUCCUGUAACAUUUUACCAAGGUCAAAAUGACUGGGCCAAGCCUCAGAGUAUGGGUCCUAUUUCUGUCCCAAGCACAUAUUGUACAUCUGGUUUGAGAAGAAAAAGAUAACCCCAAAAUGCCAUUGCAAACAUAAAGAUAAGAAAAACAAAAGAACCUCUCUGGCUUCCAUAAGAUUAGAGUCAUACCAACUUGUACAAACUGAAAACAUAAGAGAAAGUCUGUCACUUUCUUGAAUGUUCUUCCUCAUGAUGAUAUGUAACUCUGUAUGUAAAUCAACACAGAACAAAUAUAUAAACCUGCCUCAAAUGUUCCUUCCCCGGAGCACUCCCUUUUUUGUGAAGAUUGUGUCUCCCAGGCAGCUGUCCUGACUUGGGUUUGAAUAAAACUCUCUUCCUUUUUCUCUAAAGUGUUUAAAAGGGUUUGUUCAUUCAGUGUCGAGAAUAACAAUAUGUUUUCUUUUUAAGUGAAAAAUAAAUGUUCCUCGUUCACAACUCCAACAGCAGAGAAGGGCGGCUGUUCUUCAUCCUGGAGCUUCCCUGCAGAACCAAGCAUAUGUAUAUAUAUUCCAGCAUAAACGGGCUCAUCCUACAAGGAUGCUUUGAAGGUCCAAGAAGCACUAUCCAGUCCAUGGAAACCGAAGCAGGUGUGCUUGCCAUAGGUCGGAGGUCCUACUUAUCCCCACCUGACAGCACUUCUCCCCUCUGGCUCCAUGAGACCCGAAGUUUUGAACAUCAGCAUGUGAGUCAGUGAUGCUGCUUGUCACAGGACGUCAGCAUUCAGAGAGAGCAGCAGGUCCAUUUGGCACAAUGUCAUCUUCAAGUCAGGACUGGAGUUUCUUUGGUGGUGGAGUCAGAAGGAGAGUGUUUGGGAAUUCUGGAUGGAGGCAUGCUGGUGUCAGGAGCACUGGGCUGAGUUCUGGAACUGCUUGCCUGAGCCUAGGUGCGUCAGGUUAUCCCACAGAGCUUCCGUUGACUCCUUAUGAAAUUGCUGGAAGGAGCAGGAUCUGUGGACUCCAGGGGUGAUGUGAGAAACGUCAGAAGCCUCCCUUGUCCGUGUUUCCCUCGUCUGUCCCGGUGCUCCAUUCCUUCCUAAGGCCUUGUCACCCGGACCAGAGCAGUGAAUCUGGAACCUCUUCCAAAUGGAGACCCGGAGGCUGCAACAAGGAGGGUCUUGGCCUUGGUCCCCAGACUAGUGGUCAGUGCUCUGCCAUGUUCUGCGUACCCAGGUCCUCAGCCCCCCAAGUCCCCAGUCUGUCCCCUGCUCAGAAGGACCUCGAGGGAGUACAAAGCAUUUUCCCAGGACUGGGAGCACAGUGGGUCGGGGAUGGAGAUCCAAGGCCAAUAGGCUCUUCCACAAGCCUGUGGGACCCUAGGGACACUGCAUCUCUAAGCCCAAGUGACAGAAGAGUAAGCUGAGGCCUUUGUGCUGUAGCCCCUCUGGACUUGGGGGUGGGUAUCUCUUCCUGCUUCCAAGUGCCCAGGCUGGUGAUGGACACCGGAACCCAGACCCUGUCCUCUCCCAGUGCCCUGGCAACCCUUCGGGGUCCCUUGGGGACCCCUGACCCUCAGCCUGGCCUGUCUCCCCUCCCCAUGCUAUGGAUCUGGGUCCUUGCCAGGAGUCCUGAUGCCCUGCC